ensembl:lncRNA
UUGUAAAUGAUGUUUGAUCAGCUAAUAUUAAUUUUUCUCCAAACAUUUAUGUGUAAGGAGGAAGAGGAGGAGGAGCACCAAAUCAUCAUGCAAGUCACUGAUUUCUCUCUUAGCUUGGGCUGCUACAACUGCCAGAGAAUGAAUGGCUUAAACAGCACACGCUUAUUUCUCACGGUUCUGGGAGGCUGGAAGUCCAAGAACAGGUGCUAGAAGAUCUGGUGUUUGGUGAGAGCCUGCUUCCUGGUUGGAAGAUGGCUGUCUUCACACGGCAUCCUCGCAGGACUGAGGGAAAAGAUCUGAUAGACGGGUGCCUGAUGAACUAUGGACAGAGGUUCGUGACACUGUACAGGAGACAGGGAUCAAGACCAUCCCCAUGGAAAAGAAAUGCAAAAAAGCAAAAUGGCUGUCUGAGGAGGCCUUAAAAAUAGCUGUGAAAAAA